rnacentral:lncRNA from 1 species
GCCCUGAAAGCCAUAAAGCCUAGCUAUUCUUAUUGAAGAGUCGAUGAAAGAUUUUCUGUGAGAAGGAUUUCUCACCAUUGAAGAAUAAAUAGAAUAGUUUGUAUCCUUUCCUUGUCCAAUGGAGAGAAGUAUAGUGAUUGAUGGGUUCUUUUUUUUCACGGUGUCUGCGAAUUUGGCGAUUUGAUUUUCAUCGGAUGGUAAUGAUAAAGAUAGCUGGUAAGUGGUGGAAUUGAUAUCAGCAGAAGAGCAAAUAAGGUGAGUGAAGAGAUCAUAAUUUAUGCCCGAAAUGGUGGACACGUCGCUUAGAUCCAAGUGACCGACCCUAAUCCACGGUUUUGCUUUCGCGGGAUGAAGUUCUGAAUAGCAACGUGUGGAAGAUGAUGCUGAUAAUUAUGGAUGCCAUUUGAGACUUUGUUAGGAAUGGAAAUGGAUCCGCAGAAGAGAAAUUAGAUAAACACUAGUUUCACAGUUCAUUUAAGUUCUUAUGUAAACUAUUAACGUAGAGGUUCAUUUCGUUCAGAAAAAAAUCUUAUGCGCUCCUGGAUAGGCACAUACAUUGCAUGUUAAGAUGAUGAUAGGCGAUGCGACCAUUGCCUAAGAACUAAGAUUUUCUUCCGUCGCUUGGGUUGGCUGACUUUCCAUGAAGAAAAAUGAUGUUUUGAUUGACAUUUGGUUUAACUGAUGACAAAUUUCAGGCUAUAAAUAUCAGUAUUGUUUUAUUAAAUAAUAAAAUAUAAUAAUUUUACAUGUACGUUGAAAGUUAAUAACUUAAUAUUGCAGUCUUUUGAGACUGUGUUGACGUUUAUUCGGGUGCAUUCGUUUAUUAUAUAUUCCCGUUUUUCUCCCUGUGUGUUUGCUACAGUGCUCUUAAAAGAAUAACAUGUUUUUUUUCGACAAUAAAAGAAUAACAUGUUUAAAGCAUGUAAAUGCACCUCAGAAGUAGUUAAGAAAGACUUGAUAAAAAACCAGACAUUUUCUCUCUACUCAAAAAGUAGUUAAGACUGUAUGAACCAAUUAAAACGUCAGAUUCAUACUAUAACUAUGAUGAUUCAAUAAGACCUUCAAACUAAAUCCACAGAUUCCAUGAGUAAGAAACAAUGGAUCACAUUUUUUUAAGUUUAUGCUUUGAGUAAAAUAAAAGUAGAAACAUGAAUUUGAAAGAAGCAAUUUAGUUAUAAAAAAUUGUCAAGUAAUUAAUUGUUUGGCAUUUAUUUUAUGGGUCCCAACCCAUGUGAUCCGUAAAAUGAGACACCUUAUGUGAUUGGGUGCGCCAUGGUGCGCUAACCUCAUAUAAGCUUCUCUCUUCUUACGGAUAUAACUGUAUAUGGGUGGCAUUAUGUAGUGCCCCACAUGGGCUCUUUAAAAUUAUUUUAUGUGCAUUUUAAACAUUCCCUCGUUAUUGAUUUGAAACACUAAAAAUGCCUCUCUUAAAUUUUAAAAAUAUAUAAAAAAAAUUGCGUGUUUAAAGAAUGCUUGAUGUCUCUAGCCUAACAGUUAGCACACCUAUUGUAUACACUUUUACUUUUUUCUUCUCUAAACUUUCACUCCUCUUUUCUCUGAUUCUUCACACUUCACUGAUCUUUUAUCUCUAAAAAAAUUAAACUGUCUCUAGAAGCUUAUUACUAAUUUUCUGAUCUAAUUAUUUACAUAAGUAUUCUUGAUUGAUUAUCACUUCUUUAAUUUUUUGAGGGGGAUUUCUCUUGGAUGAAAGAAUUAAGGUUAUGUUCUAAGAAAAUUUUAACUCCCAUGUUAUAGUUUUGAUAAUGAGAUUAUCCUUAAAUUUUCAAUAUAUGAAAAUACUUCGAAACAACUAUUAAUUCGUUGAAUGAAACAUCCUAAUGAACUUAGAUUUUGGUACUUAUUAUUUAUUGAACUUUUUCUUUUAAAUUACAUUACUAUUUGAAGUGUGGCGGUAUAUGGUCUCUAGUCCAAAUGACGAAAUCAAAUCACCAUGUGCAUUAGUGUUUUGUUUGUGUGGUUGGAGGGGGGGGGGGGGGGGCGGUGUUUUUUAUUGGUGCAGGAAGAAAGCUCUUCAGGACUACUCGGAAAAAUAUAUAUAUAUAUAUGAGCAACACAUAGUCCAUUUCGCAUUGCAUAGAAGUAAAACCGAAGCAUUACACAAAAAGCACACGUUAUUUAUAUUUUUAGUUAUUGAUAAGAAAAUUUUUUCCCUCUUAUUAUCAUCUUAAUUAAGAAAAAUAGUAAUUCGUUUAACUGUUUGCGAAAAAUGAUGGCAAUAUACAAUAAUAUUGUGUUGAUGACCUUGAAAGCUAAUUCUUUUGAAACAGGAAAACUGGUAUCGUAUUCAAAACACAUAAAAGACGUAUCCAAGCUUUUAAUGUGAUCUAAAGAUCUCAUAGCUACAUUCGAAAUUAAUAAAUGAUCCCUAAGAGUUACGAAACUGAUAUCAAUGAAAUUACAAACUCUUAAGAGUUUAUAGAACAUUAAUUGAUCCAAAUCCAAUACAAACUGCUUACUAGUACAGCCUCAAGAGAGCCAUUUAUUUUUCAGUAGGCAAAUUAAGCAACUGCAGCAGUCACUAGCAGCUUGCCAAGAGCUAGCAUAGAUCAAUUGUUCAUCUUCAUAAGCUUUCUUUGAGAAAGUUUCAAGCUUCUUUGGAGUCAUUAUAUCGGCUGUGUUCUCGUUUUUGAGCAUCGAAUAAACUUCCAGCAUAGAAGGUCUACCGUUUGGGUUCUCCUGAACACAUAACAAAGCUAUUUGCAGACAUGUCAAUAAUUUCCAUGAGGAAUGCGCAUCAUCUAGUGAUGGAUCCAUUAACUUUAUGCCUUUCCCAUCCUUCCACAACUUGUAGGACUGAAAACAUCAAAUAUGUUAUUGAGUUACAUUCAAUUAAAUAGCACUAUAAAGUUUUGACCAAUUGUGCAUUAUAAAGGGGGUUAUACAGAAACUUACAUAGUGUACAAGGCUUAAAUUUUCAUUAUGACCAUAUUAAAUAAAAAAUCUCCUUCCAUUUAUAAUUUGCAAAAGUAAAAUCUCAAAACUGUAGACAUCAUAUUUAGUAGAGUAGAUGCCUCUUCUACAUACCCAGGAGGGAUGUAGCCAUUGUGGUACCGAUUAAUUACAAACGUCAUUGAAAUUGUUUGACCUAAAAGAUUAAGUUGAUUGGUAAAUGUUUAACAAUAGUAUUAAAGAUAAGUCGAAGAAAAUAGACAUAUAUAUACUUACUGUGUUCCAACAAUUCGAUUUGUGUUUGCUUCAAGAUCAUCUUUCACAAAAAUUCUAACGAAGUCAAAAUCUGAUAUUUUUGGUUUCAAAUCUUCAUCCAACAAAAUGUUACUAGCUUUCAAGUCUUAAUGAAUAACUAUUAAUCUAGAAUAUUCUUGAAGAUAGAAAAGCCCUUGAGUAAUUCCUUAAAUGAUAUGAAUGCAUUUUUUCCAAUCCAAAAUAAACCUUCGGAUGGGAUCUACAUCAAAUAUAAGUAUAGUUGGACGGUCUGUAGCAUUAGCAUUUAGAAAUGAGAAAUGCAAAUAAAGGAUUUCGUAAAUGAAGAAUUGCUCGCUGGAAGAAUAAGUUGAAUAAUCUGCAUUUCCUCCUCCGAUGGAAAGAAGGGUAGUGAUUGUUAGGUUCUUUGUUUUCAUAGUGUGUGUGAAGUUGAAGAAUUGUUCCUCAUCAGAAGAUGACAAAGAAAGUUUGUAGGACGUUGGAUCGACAUAAGCGAAACCACAAAUAAGGUGAGUGAAGAGAGCACAUUAUUUAUAUCUAAAAUGGGGAAGCCAGGCCUGGUUCCCAAAUACUAGCUCUGAUUAAAGUUUUUGCUUUUGCAGGAAGCGAUUCUGAAAAUAUAAAAAUCUGGAGGACCUAAGUGACAAAUUUGGAUGCCAUUUUGGAAAGCCAGCUGCCUGAAACAUGCCCAGUCUGUAUGUGUUUUUAUACACACACACAGAAAUUAUCCUAUAUUGACCGAGAUUAGUUAUGGUCCUAAAUAAUAUAUGUUUUAAGCAACCCUUAACCCAUGAGUUAAAGUUUAUAAACAGUAUCAGAGUCAGGUUAUGGACAAAUGCGCUUAUAUUACCAGACUAAAAUAUCAGCGUGCAUUUGAUGGAAUGAUAGGAAAAAUAUCCCACCUUAGUUAAGAUUAGUUACUAAGUUAAUAAUAUAAGAUUAAGGCAAUCUUCCACUCAUAUAACGCAAGAGUAUGAAUCACAAUUUAAUAAAACUAGGUCAAUUCGAUUUUUUAUAAAGAUAUAUGAGCUACAACUUGAGGUCGCUCACGAGUGGGGACGAGUUAGAUUAAGGCAAUCUUCAACUCAUAUAAUGUUGAUCAUGGACCGAAUCAACAUAGGAAACAAAAGUCGAGGAAGUUGAAUCUCCUUGCCUUCAAGUUGCAUGGAUGGGAGUCAUACAACGAAAAGGUUGUCUUCGUUCAAUGACGAUCGGCUUGAAGUUCUUAAAUUAAGCUACGGCGUUUGCCUCCACUUAGCUUGACUUCUGAAGCUGGAGACUCUUCCUUUUGUAUUGGCUUCGUUGGUACUUAAAUUACCUCGGAGUCUCGGAUGUGUUUCUGAAGCCAUGUCAUUGUCUACGAGUAGAAUUUUUUUUUUUUUUUUUUUUUUUGGGGGGAAGAAAGAGGAAGUCUAUCGGAAAAGUAGUAAAAUGAUAUUUUUUGUAAAGAUAUAGUAGGAAAAUGAUAGGGAGCAAUACUUCUUGUAGUCAUUUGAUAUUUGUCAAAUUUUAAAGUAGUGAAAUGAUAAUAACCCAAAAAAAAAAACAAAACGUUUUUCAAUCAAAAACAAAAAUAAAGAAAUAAAUAGACAAUCCCAUGUAUAAAAAGCUAACCGGGAAUGGUGAAGACGACACUGACAUCCUCCGUUUCUCUAUUAAGCUACUUCAAGUGUUUAAGGUUUUUGAUAAUUAUAGAAAUUAAGAAAUAACAUGAAGAAGAAUGAUCAAUUAGGGGAAGUGAUUGAAGUUGAUGUGGGUUUGGACGGUGGAUGAUGAAAGCUGACUUUGUUUUGUUAUGUAAAAUCAACGGUGCCCAAAAGGCUGUUCUGACGCAGAUGCUUCACUUCCUUGCAUACUGCUGUAGAAAAAAAUGGUUUUUUUCUAUCUAAAGGUUAAUAGUUUAGUUUGGUGAAAAAGAAUUUUAAGUACAGUAAAAUUUUUAUAAAUUAAUAAUUUUCUAUCAUAUAAAAUUUAUUAAUUUAAAAGAAGUAUUAAUUAAUCUAUAUUAAUAAUUUAUCAAUUUAUAAAGUGUAUAUACAAUUCGAUAAACAUACAUUUUAAUCAAUUAAAAUUCAUUGUAUUUUACCAAUCUAAUAAAUUAAAAAUGAAUUAAUCUACUAAAUAUAAAUUAAAUUAAUAAAAAAAUUUAUAAUUCUUACAAUUUCAAAAUUCAACCCUUAAACUUCUAGAAGUGAUACGCAUAGCAUUACUCAAUUUAAAUUCAACCCUUAAAAUCAUGGCAAGAGAAUAGUGAAGAAAAAAGAAAAGAAAAGGAAAAAACAAACUCACAAACACUUAGUUAUCGACCUCUAUGGCCUAUGCCACUGGCCUGUAGAACUAACUCCCUCAGAAAUGAUUUCAAGUUCCUGUAAUUUUCUGUAUAAAAUGAGAGCAUUUUCCUCUUUAAAGCAGGGGCAGUAACAGUGUCACAAUAGAAAGCAUUCUGAUGGUAAGAUUAAGUAGUAUUGUGAUUUUAAUUGGGGGGAAAAUGUCCCAUACGCUUAUUUCCUUAUGUGAUUUAGAUUCAAGUCAAGACGACCCUCCAUUUUAGUAUAAAAGUCUAUACAAAUGUACGUUUUACUCAAUGUUUACGUAGAAACAAAUGAUUUGCUGAUUUAGUACCACUCUUGUUUACUGGGUGGGAUUUGGCUCCUCCAAAUUUGUAGCCAAUAUUUUACUUUGAUGAGAAAAUCAAAUAACGUUUCAACAAAUAAUUUUUCUUUUCUACGUACUUUCUUAAAACGUAUGGAGUGAGUAAAGUACAAAUUGAUUUUUUAGCCCUUUGACUCUUCCAUAUUCAAACUCAAAUUAGUGGUCUGUUAAAUAUUGCUACUUAAAAUCAUUCAGCCAAAUAUUGUAAAAACUAUAAUUUCACAAAGUCAAAGUUUCAUUGAUUAUUGAAUUGUAGAGUGUGCUAUCAUUUCCUAGCUAAAAAUUUGUUUAGUUCUAUUAAGUUUCAAUCAUUUUUUAUUUUAUUUAAUUAAUUAAAGUGAAUUUAUUAUGUAUAAAUGCUAUUUAUGUGAAAUUUUAAAAUCCAGUGCUAAAUUGAAUUGUACUAAAUUUUUAUAAUUUUUUGUCACACCUGCAUUUCUAACAGUUUAGUAUAAAUAUUGAGAGCAAAUAGUAUAUAGGAUUAAAAGAGAUUGAUUUCGAGUGCUACAAGAUUUUUAGGAUUGCAUGCGCAAGGGUUUAAAAACAAAGUGUGCAUUUAAUUACACUAAACGUAGGUGCAUUUUUAUGAUGAAAUAAAAACUGGUUGUAUAAAUGGCUCCAUAAUUAGUGUACUUAAUAUCCAUCUAGCUAUCACUUCCGAAAAUGAUAUCAGAAGCCGAACACAUUUCCAACUGUAUUUUAGAUAAUAGUUCAAUCCCAAUUUCGUCAACUUGUUUUGAGAAAGCAGGCUUCUUGGGAGAAUUUAUAUUUCGUCAACUUGUUUCGUCAAUUUGUGCAUAUAAAUGUCUAUCAUUUGGAUUCUCCUGGACACACAACAAAGCUAUAUCCAGACGUCUCAUUAAUUUACAAGUGAAAUUUGUAUAAUCUCGUGAUGAAUCCACAAACUCCAUAUAUAUUUUUUUUUUUACCACGAGGUAUCAUGGGGAGGGCCCCAACUGUGGGAGGCACCUUUAAGUCCGUACCACAACUCAGACUAGAAGUCCCCGCUCGAACCGAGAGGCACAGGUUCUCCCAACAAAGGCGACUUCCCUACGACUUGAACUGGGGAGCAAACCCAGUCAAGCCAUUUAAGGGGACUCCAUUGCCAGUGGAGCCAACACUUUGUUGGUUAAACUGGAUAUUUUAUCUUGCUACAAACUCCAUAUUUUCACAACUCAUAUGCCUGAAAUUAUCAAGUAUUAUCUUGCUACAUAUUUUAUACUACUUAGUUAAGUGCAUAUAUAUAUAUAUAUAGACACAUACACACACACACACUAAAGGUUACUAUAGCCAAAGAAAUUUACAUGCUCUAGAAGACUUAAAUUUCCAUCGAUGCCACAUAGGCACAUAACAUAAAAAGACUUUUCCCAGUUAUCAUUCGUAAAAGUAAGACUUCAAAACUAAAAAUGUUUGAUUCGGUAGAGUAAACAUCUCUAUGAGUGUAUUUAGGAGGAAUAUAACCUCUACAUUUGAAAAUAACCAACACUCACUACUACAAAAAUGACUUUUACUGACACUUUGUUUCUGACACUUUGAAAAAAGUGUCAGUAAUUACCUAACUAUGCACAAUUUUCCGCUUUUAACAAAUAAAUGUCACAAAUUAUUAAUACUAAUGUAUCAGUAAAUUAAAUAUUAGAGAUCACUGAUACUUCAGCAUCAGAGAUCUAAAAAGAAUCAUUAAAAUUUGUUUUGAUUUUAACUCGAACCUGGGAUUUCUAAAACUCAAAACUUUUACGUUUAGAUUGCAAACCACUGGACCCCAUAAAAUUGAGUUGGAAUUACAAUGUUAUAUAAAAUAUUAACAUAUAAAAAACCAAACCCUAAUUCCCCUUUUCCAUUGUGCAAUAGAGCCCAUGCCGCAGCUGCUGCGUAAUUUCCUUGCCUUUCUUGACUUCUUCUUCUCUAUCGUGAAAGAUGGAGAAUGACCAGGCCCAAACGCCCACGCCCACAGCCGCGCCCAACCCCCACGGCUGCGCCCACCCCCACGCCGUUGCCACUAUCACUUCCGUUCAAGUGGUUCGACACUGCAGGUACUAAAUUAAGAAUUUAAAACAUGUAAAACGAAAGUAAAACAUAUCCCAAACUUAGCAAUUGUCCCCAUCUCCCUGUCUUUUAUACACACAAAUCUCUAACCCAAACUCAAACCCAAAACUGUCUCUUGCCUUUCUCUUUCUCUUUCCUUUUUCUCUUCUCGAUCUCUUCCUUUUUUUUCUGUCCAUUCACAAACUCGUUCAUUUAACUUAAAUAGAUAAUAUAAAGCUAAAACCCUAAGUGAGGCUUUUAUUCCCUUUUUCCUUUUUUUUCCCAAAUUGAAAAACGGACCAAAACCGUAAUCGAGGCUUCUUUUAUCAAUUUUUUUUCUUUUUAUGGUCAAAUUUCACUUUUUUUUUGUUCAAUAUUCAAAACCCAUUUGCUUGAAUUUGAAUAAAAUUAUUGAGAAAUUAGUUAAUUUUCUUGCUAUGGAAGGGAUACCACACCUUAUACGUAGACCUGUGAAGGAGAUUUUCAAUGACUUUAAGGGCAAACAGGUUGCCUUGAUUAAGGCUUUAACUGCUGGUAAUGGCUUAAUAUUUUAUUUUCUUUGUCAAAUUAAUUAAUAAUUUUUUUUUAUUUUAGCUUAUCAUUAUUAGGGUUUUUUGUUAAUUUUAAUUUUCUGGGUUGUUGCAGAUGUUGAGAAAUUCUGCCAGUGGUGCAGUCUUGGUGGGAUUUCUUUUCCAUAUCUAUUUUUUGUUUAUUUAAUUGUAAUUUGAAUUUUUUUCUUUUUUUUCCUAUAUUUCUAUAUUAUAUAGAUUGAAUGGCUGUGUAUUUCAUAAUUAUUAAGUGUUAUUUAUUGCUCUGUUUCAUGUAAAGAUAGGCAAAUUAUGUUAUAGAAACCAACAUGUUUAUUUUUUUAUUUUUUUUAGUUGGAAGAUUUUUAAUAGAGACAAUGACUAUGAUAUGAAUUAACUAAGUUCAUGAUUUGUCUUUAAUUCAAGAAGAAAAUGCUUGUUUUUAGGUAGUUUUGCUUGUUGUAGCACUUGAAGACUUACAUUUUCUUUGUUCAUUUGCACGGUUAGUUUCGCUCUUAUUCAGAAAUUUCUGUGUUUCCUCACUUGCAUGGUCAUUAAUUCAUUCCAUGAUUUUUCUUCUGUAAACACACUUUUAUUUUCCUUUCACUAGUUUGAAGGAAUUUAUUUUUUUAAAAUAAAAAAUUCUAAAGAUUGAAAUGAAUUGAAAUUGUUGCUAUAAUGUACUUUCUUUGCUGCUGAAGUUCAAGGAAUGUCUAUUUAAAUGAACUAGAACUUGAAAAAUCUUGAAGUGUUGUUGUACCCAUAGACUUCAUUUUUUUUCCUGCACAUUACACUUAUUUUGUUCAUCUUCUUACCUUCAAUUUGUCGUAGAGGUUAACAAUGAUUGACGAGAAAUGGAGGUUUGCAUUUACUGCGGCUGAAUCUCAUGAACAAGAAGUUGGCAAACUGAGGUCUGUAUUUUUUCCUCAAAUUCAUAGUUGAAUUCAUAGUAAGCUCAAAGCAAUUGAUUGAGGGAGAAAAUAAAUUGAGUUUUAUUUAUUAGUAUAAUUUUUGUUAUUUAGUGCUUUACACUCUUCAUGACAACUUCUGCGAUCUUGUCCUAUUACCUUAAGGUACUACUGGAUAUUUGAGAAAAAAUUAAAAAUUAUUAAGAUUAUCUUUCUUUGAUGAUAGAAUUACAAUAUGUCUUCUCACUUAUUAUAGUUCAUCCAAUUUUAUUUUUGUUGCACAGUCUGUGGAAAUCAGAGUACCACAUUUAAGAGUUUUUAUAAAAUGUCUCCUUUACCUUUCCUAUUAUUUAAACUAAUUUCAUGUGUAUUUCUUUAGUUAAUGAUUGAUUUUCAAGUAGUUGAAGGAAAGUAACUUGUAGAACCUCCUUCUAAAAUUGGUCUGGAACCUUUGUGUGCAAUGGUUAGUGAAAUCAUAAUCCGUGGCUUGUGUUAAUAUGCAUCGAUUGUGUGAAAACUAUUGUUUACUAUUUUCUGUGGCUGGUUAUUAACAUGAUUCACAGAUAAACAACAAUAGACUCAUACCCAUAUGCUUGCUUGUUUUCAACAAGCAUUUUUUUUUUGUAGGUUUUUUUUUUGUGCGUCUCUCUUUGAAGAAUAAUAUGAUUAUCUUACACGAAAUGGGGAAAUUCCAUUAUCUUGCUGCAAGUUUUUUCCUAGUUCUAUAGUUCUACCGUUUUGUAUCACCUUGGAUGACAUGUCGAGUGAAUCCUGGAACAUCAUUUUAUCUUGUUUGUACCUAUAAUACGUUGUGUUCAAUGUUCUUGAAAUUUUUGGGCAUGGCUGCAAACAAAUUUAGCAGUUUUUAAUAGCCAACUAUAGAGUCAAUUUAAAAUUUGUCUAGGUGGUGAGUUUCUAUGGUUUUGUAAUUGGGGUGAAAGGUAGCAAAUACUAAUCUUGUCUAAAGAGCAUUUGUGUAAGAUUACUUGUGAGUAUAGUGGGGCAGCAUAUAUUAGUAUUUUUAUGAAAUAAGCAGAAAAAGGGAUCCCUUUCUAUUGUCAGCAAUAAAAAGAAUUUUCAAAAAUGUAAACACCAAGCGUUCUAGUUGUAUUGUUAUUUGCAAAGAUCUUUUCAAUGUAUUUGUAGAUCCCAACAUACCUUGAUGCAUGAUCAAUUAGUCUGAAGAAUGUUGAGGAUUAUGUCAUUUUGAGCUGUUUAUCAGGUAGUUUGAGGUUAGAUUUGUUUUUUGGAGUAUUAGCUUGGAAUCUGAGUGCUUGCCUAAUUUGGAGAUUGGUGUGUGAUACUUCAAUAGCCUUUUUUUGUGGACUCCCUUUUGACAUUUUGUAAUUAUUGUUCUUAUUAAUACUAAUUUCUCUGUUUCCUAUAAAAAAUAAAUAAAUAAUGAAGGAUAGGUUUUUAUAUGGUAAGGAAUGAAUAAAUAUUAUAAGCAUUUAUUGGAAAAUAAAACUAUGCAGCUUAUUUAGUUGUUUUCCUAUUUAGUGAUAAAUUAAAAUUUUUGGCUUAAUUAUAUUCGGAUAUAUAAACACCAAGUUUUCAGUGUUAAGAUGGAAAACCAACGUCUUUAAAAUUUAUGAAUUGUUAAUACUGAAUCUUUUUUCAGUUUCAGUUAAAAAACAAAAAGGCCCUUCUUUUUUCUAUCUUCAAAUUUUGUGUGAUAGAAGUAUACUGUUGGGCCUUUCUUAUCAACUUUAGCUUUUGGGAUUAUUGUUGGUUUAACUUUAGAAUUAUUUGACCCAGAGAUUUUAUGUUCCAUUAAAUAAUAACACUCAAUACACUGGAUUUAGUUCAUGUUUAUUAAAUUUGGAUUUUUAUGUGAGACGGUACAAGUAUUGGGGAUUAGUGGUCUCUCAACAUUAUGAUCGAAAACCAGCCCUCACUGCCAAUUUGUAUUUUAAGCCCAAUAUUCAGUCCUUGAUCACUAUCAAACUUCCAUAAUCAUUUCUUCUUCAUAUUCUUAUAAAUCAGCCUCAAACUCUAAAGAAAAACCUAAGCCAUUCUCUGUAAGGGGUAAGCGUCUGUUCUUGUUCGGAUGAAGGUGCCAAGUUUUAUUUUGCUCUUUAACGUUAACAAGUCAAUUCCCCAUGAUGUGUUAGGUGAUUUGUUUGUUUCAUGCUGUUUAUUUCCUCGUCUUUUUUUUCUUCUAUCUACUGUUCCUUUAUGAAUUUGCCUCUAGGCAUUUUUGCAGUUGCUUACUAUGAAAUACAAUGGGCUUAUGCUAUAUUUUGUAAAAAUAACUAUGUAAUUCAAUCUCCAAAUUAGUUAAUCUUCUUAGUUGGCUUUGUCUUUGACUGUUUUUUAUAUCAAUUAAUUUGUUUCGUUGUGUACAGGUUAAUUUCUAUUGUUGGAGCCAUGAGUCUGCUGAACACAUUUUUCCUAACAGAGGUUUGGGAUAUGGACUUGCCCAAUUUUUGUCUGUUUUGUUUCUAGGUUAUUAUGUAAAAAUUUUAUAAUGGUUUGCUUUGCUUUGGGUUAUGAUGUAAAAACUUUGUAGUGGUUUGCCUCAAAUGUUUCUGUUAUUAUGUCUUUGGUCUUAUCCUAAGAUACGCUAUAUUCUUAUUCCUCAAUUUUUACCCCUGGAUUGUUUAAUGAGUUUCUAAUUUUGGAUGUAUACUAAUAAAUCUCCAUUUAUCUUUCUUAAUCCUUAGGAUUUUUUUUUUAUUUUUUUUAUUCUUCUUAAGUUGAGUUGUGUAUAGAUCUGUAGGAAAAUCCACUCAAAUUCAAUUCUUAGCAGAUAAAUAUUCCUACCUAUUACAAUUAGCUUGCACUAAGAGAGCUAUGUAUUGUUUUUGCCCCAUUCUUUGUUAGUCUCUUUGAACACUGAAAUUGGCCUGAUUGUUUUUUCUCCCAAAAAUUCAAGAAUUAUUUUUUGUGGUAUACUAAUUGAUUUUAUGUACUUGUAGGUGGGAAAAGAAAAAUGAAGCCGCUUGUGGAUGUUCAAUGACAUUAUGUGCUUCUUUUUGUUGGUUAAUAUUUGUUGAAUCUUAACAUAGUACUUGGUUGUUAAGAGCUUGUCCAAGACUUAAUUUAGUAUUUAUAUUUUUCUUUUCCAAACAAUGAUGUAGUUGAAUGAUAUGAAUUUGAGUGAUGUAUUUGAGAUGUCUCUUAUGCAAUUGUGUUGCGAGAUUUUGUAUAUUUAAUAUAUUUUGAGUUUUCUUUCAGUUGUAAAACAAAUAGGAAAAUAUAAUUAAAAUCAAAGUAUACUAUUAACCAAAAGAAUCAUAACAUCACUAAAUACUGACACUAAAUGUUUAAAAUAACAGUAAUAAUUUUUUAUGUUAUUGAGUCAGUGUGCUCUUGAUACUGUAGUCUCAUAAAUUACUGACAUAUAAAUAGUAUCAUUAAAUACUAACGCUAUCGUGUCAUUAUUUUAGUGAUACCAUAAUGACAUGAAUUACUGACACAAAAAUCGCUGACACUAAAAAUUAGUGUCAGUGUGUUCUGUCUGGAGAAUUAUUGACACAAUUAAUAAGUGUCAGGAAAAGUAAUUACUGACACUAAUUUAGCGUCAGUAAAGCCCAUUUUUCUAGUAGUGACUAUUUCAGUAUGUCUCUCUCUCUCUCUCUCUCUCUCUCUCUCUCUCUCUCUCUCUCUCUCUCUCUCUCUCUCUCUCUAUAUAUAUAUAUAUAUAUAUAUAUAUAUAUAUAUAUAUAUAUAUAUAUAUAUAUAUAUAUAUAAUCAGCUUCAGGUCUGGAAUUUAAAUUUGUAAAGAGUCUACAAUAUCGUAAAUUGCAUUCAUCACUGUUUUACAAUGGUCUAAAUUUUAUUAUAAAUGACUGUCAAAAAAUUAAUACAUGGUUAUCAUUUAUGAUUAUAAUUAGAACAUUAAAAUUCAAGUCGACUCAUUUGUCUUUACAUUGAUGUAUUCUUUGCGAUUAUACUUAGAAUGUUAAACAAUUAAGUUGAAACGACCCGCCCCAAAUCUCCAGGACAAGUCUAUCUAAUCUCGCCUAACCGAAUUAAUAAUAGUUCUAAUAUCUAAGAAUUCUACCAAAACUUCGGCAGAGUCUCUUAUAUAAUUAUUACAUCCCCAAACUUGUAAUUUAUAAAAUUAACACUCCAAAAAAUAAUACAAUAUUUAAUCAACCUCUACAACCAACUUCCUCAAUUUAAACACCAGUAUCCUUCAAACAUAUAAUGUCAAGAAUACAAUAAUUUAUCCUUAAUCGCAAAUAAGUAAUAAAUUAUACAAUUCAAAAUAUCCCAACAAAGCAUCUAUGAUUUUUAACACCAUCAUGUGGCUAUAGUUUCAAAUCUAACUAUCGUUGUUGGAUCGACUGAUGUACCUGCAAAUCUCCUAGGGAGGGGGGGAAAUAUAAUAAAAAUAUGGUGAGUAUAAAACUCAGUGAGCUCAGUGAGUGGUGGGGGUGGGCAAAAUCGGGUUCGGGUCAACGCGAUCGGGUUUCGGGUUGUUCGGGUUAGACAAGAACCAAUUCGAACAUAACCCGAAUUAUUGACCCAACCCGAACCGACCCGAACUGGAUCGGGUUGGAUUUAAAACGGGUUGGAUUGAGUUCGGGUCAAUUCGGGUUAGUUCGGGUCAGCGUGUGUGUGUGCUGUGCAGCUCGUGUGUGUUCUGUUCUGUUCUGUCAUUCUGCAUUUCUGUGUGCGUGCUGUGCAAGUGUGCAGCUUGUGACUUGUGUUGUGUGUGUGCAACAGCGUAUGUGUGUGUGGGUGCGGCUGUGUGCUUUGCAGCUUCUAACAAGUUGUGUGUGUGUGUUGUGCAGCAGCCAAGCAGCGUGUGUGUGUGUGUGUGUACAGUGUUAGCUUAGCUUAGGUUUUUUUUUUUUUUUUGAGAACCCGAUCGGGUAUUCGGAUCGGGUCGGGUUUGACCCAAACCGAUCACAACCCGAUCGGGUUUGUAAAUUUCAAACCGCUCGGGUUUCGAUCCCGACCCGAUCCGACCCGAACCCGAAAUUUAUCGGGUCGGGUCGGGUCGGAUCGGGUAAAAUGCCCACCCCUAGUGAGUGGAUAGUAGUUUAGGAAAAAUAAUUUAUUUAAAAUGAUUUAAUCUUUUCUAAAUCAAUUUCAUCAAAAUAUCAUAAGAACUUACAUAAACUUAUUUAAUUCAAAUCAUGCACUGAAAUAACAAUAUUACAUAAAUCUGCAUAAAAUCAAUGAAAUCAUAAUACUUAUUGUUAGCCUAUAUGGCUAUAAAUAUUGAUUUUGAUGAUAACAAACCACAUGUGUUAGUUAAACAAAGAUUUAUAAAUUGUGCUUUUAUAAUAAGAAAAUGAUUUUAUGGAAUUAAAGUGUUUUGGACCAAAAUAAAAGUAUUUUAUAAUCUUUGAUAUUGUUUUGAAUUUCGGAUUUGGACCUAUUUAAAUAUUUUUGGGCCAUUCUAUAAUUUCACAUAGUUUGGGCGAUAUUCUAAUUUCAAAAAUUUUUGGGAUUGACAAAGUAUUAUUUAGAAAUUCUAAAAUUGGACCUAUUUGAACACUUUCAUAACAUUUUAGGCCAUAAUAUAAUUUUAUAAAGUUUUGGGGUCGAAUUAUAAUUUUGGAAAACAUUUCACUGUAGCAAGCAGAUAUCUGGAUCCUAACAAAUGGUAGACCGGAUUUGGGCAGAAAGCUUCUGGAACUUAAACGGCUAUCCGGAUUUCACAAGCGGUAUACCAGAUGUUCAAAAAUUUAAAUUUUGGCUAUAACGGUAACAUUACGCGGCUAACCGGAUGUCCAUAAAUGGUAAGUUAGUUAUCACCUAAAUGUGCAUAACGGCUAGUUUUUGAGUUCAAACUAUAUAAACCCAAAUCCAAUUCAUUUUCAAGCUCUUUUGCAAACAAAAUCAAAAAGCACACAACAUUCAUUGAGCUCUCAUUUCGCAAAUCAUAAAACCUUGAAUCAUAUUUUGUUCUUCAAUUUGUAUAUCUACUCUUUAAGAGAGUUUUUAUUGUAAUCUUCAAUUCCUCAUCUUAAUUGUGAGUGUUUAAGUGUGUGAGACACUUGAGUGAAGAGAUUGAGAGAUAAUCUCUUUGUUGUAAAGGUUCAUUGACACCUUAAAGUCAAUUGUAACCAUUUGAAGCCUUAGAAGGCUUGCAUAGUGAAAUCAUCAAGCUUGGAUUGCUUGGAGGCGUGGACGUAGCCGGGGAUUGUCGAACCACGUAAAAAUUCGUGUGUUUGUUUCUUUUCUCCCUUACUCAUUUGUUAUUGUACUUUUAUUGAACUUAUUGCUUUCGAAUUUAUUAAGGCGUUAGAUUGGAUUGUUGUGUGGUUUUGUUAGGAUAAUUUUUAAAAAUACCAAUUCACCCCCCUCUUGGGUUGCACACUUGUAUUUCACCUAUAAUAUCAAAUACUGAAUACCAAAAACUAUCACCAAACAAGUACCCGGGGGAAUAAUCUCAUCAUAUUCGGACCUCGACGGACGGGCAAUCAGGGAACCAUCAUACCCCGGAGCUACAACGGAUAGACGGGGAAAUGUCAUCUCAUAUCUCAUGUAUCUCAACAUCUGUAUCUUUGUAAUCAUCAUACUGCAUGCAUAAGCCUCCAAAAGGAAAAAGCGCCCAAACACACAGCCAAAAGCCUCUAUGUGUGUUCAGACGGGCCUCAAAGACCUCUCAUCUCAUAUCAUCUGUAUCAUUGUGUUCAUCUUAUAUUAUCUGUAUCUCUGUGUCUUAAGGGGAAUGAUAUUGUCCAAUGAUUUUCCAAACAACCUUUUAUAAACAUGUACAUAAACAUAUAAUCACAUCUGAAAUCUCAUUUCCUUUUAUUCAACAUAUCUCAAAUCCACUCAAUUCUAAUAUCAUGCAUUUACUCAAAAAAAAAAUGAUAAUAGAAUCAUUAAUCAAACUCAUUUUCAAUACUAAUAAAUAUCAGCACGUAAAAUAAAAAUCAAUUUUCUAGAAAAUCAUUAAAUCGAAGCAUCAAAUACUUAUCAUCAAAACAUGUUGUACUGUAUAGUAAAAUCAUAGUAUACUAUGAAAAUAGGUUUUGUAUAUUCCACUCACAGUGACAAUGUCCAGACUCGGGAUCACCAACGUCCGCAGGUUAAUUCUCGCUCGCGGGUCCUCCUAAUUACAUAAACGACAUAAUUAUUAUCCAUAUCAUGAAAUACGACUAACAGUACGAAAUAAAGCUCAAAACCAAACUCCCGGAUACAUAAAAUUUCAAAAUUACCCUUAUGUCCAAAAAUUACCCAAAUGCCCCUGACACCGAAAUUUACCAAAUUACCAUCAGAAUCAUAAUUUAUCGAAUCAUCCUCAAUAUCUUAAAUUACCAAAUUGUCCUUAAUUCGGAUAACAAAAUUAAUCACAAGUUUUGAAUUUACAAAAUUACCUUCGAAGUACAAAAUUACCAAAAUGUCCUUAAUAACUUAAAUUACCGAAUUACCCUCGAAAUCUCAAAUUACUUCUCUGUCCUAAUCACAAAUUACCAAAUUAUCCACCAUUUUCAUAAAUUACAAAUUUACCCCAAAGUUUUAUGAAAUUACCGAAUUACCCUUGCCGGUCAACGGUGACCUGACUUCAGUCAAUGAUGACGGGAAGCUCAGGUCUAAUAGUUCAGACCUCGGUGAAUCCAACGAUGCUGGCGGUGACCUCCCACGCGCGGCGAUGGUGGCAGAUCGAAGCUCCAAAAUUCGUGAGUUUCCCGGUGUUCGUUCGCGGCCAAGACAGCAUCCCCGGUGAUCGUGGUCAGUUGGAAAGUGAUAAGUGUGAGUUGAGAAACAAGAUCCAGGCAGUGGCGUGGCUAAAAAUCCGACGGGAUCGACGGCGACAGAAACGGGUUGAGUCGCGGCUUUUCGAGCUUCAAACGGCGGCGUUUCGGUCGGCUUUUCUUUGAUUUGUUAUUUUGAGUUGUAUGAAAUAUAGCUUUACUUAUGUUUUUUUUUAUCAUUAAUAGGAAUUUUCUUGUUAAAACUAUAUGAAUUGAUUGAAACUUCAAAUUCAUACUACAACCAUGAUGAUUUAAUAAAACAUUCAAACUAAAUCCACAUAUUCCAUGAGUAAGAACCCUGAGAGCACAUUUAUUCAAGUUUAUGCUUUAAGUAAAAUAAAAGUAGAAAUGAGAAUUUUAAAGAAGAAAUUUAGUUAUAAAUAAUUGUCAAAUAAUUAAUUGUUCAGCAUUUAUUUUAUAGGUCCCACUGUUGGGACUCCAUGUGAUCUGCUAACUGGCAGGCCUUUUGUGGUUAGGCGAACCACAGUAUGCCUGCCCCAUAUAAGUUCCUCUCUUCUCAUAGAUAUAACUAGUGCUAUGUCAUGUCCAACAAGGGCUCUUCGAAACUUUUUAUGUGAAUUUUAAACAUUACCCCAUUACGCUUUUGAAACACCAAAACUACCUCAAAUUUUAAAAAUAUAAAAAAAAAUACAUAUUAAAAGAAUGUUUUAUGUCUUUAGCUUAACAGUUAGCACACGUAUUGUACUCUUGACAUUUUUCUUCUGUAAAUCUUCACUUCUUUUUUCUUUGAUUCUUCACACUCCACUGCUCUUUUAUCUCUAAAAAAUUAAAUUGUCCGUAGAAGCUUACUAUUUAAUUUACUGAUCUAAUUAUUUAGCUCUAAAUAUUUAGAUACGUUUUCUUAAUUAAUUAUCUCUUCUUUAAUUUUUUUGGUAAUUUCUCUUAGAUGAAAGAAUUAAGGUUAUGUCCUAGGAAAAUAUUAACUCUCAUAUUAUAGUGUUGAUAAUGAGGUUAUCCUUGAAUUUUUAACACAUGAAAACACAUCGAGGUAACUAUAAAUUCAUUGAAGGAAAUAUUUUAAUAAAUUUAGAUUUUGGUACAUAUUAUUUGUUGAAUUUUUUUUCUUUCCAAAUUGAACGUAGCCCUUAUGAUAUUCAGUUCGUGAUGGUGCCACUAAAUGUAAAGUGUCGAACUAGAUCAUAUUUCUCCCUUAUGCAAACUCCAUCGUUUAUUUAUAUUUCAAUUUUGUGGCCUAUUGUCGAGUUUUCUAGUUUCACAGAGGGCAUCUUGGAUUUCUCUACGUGGUCCAUAGUCUCUAGUCCAAAUGAAGAAAUCGAAUUCACCAUGUACAUUAGUGUUUUUUUUCUUUUUUCUUUUUGGGCGGGGGGGGAAUUUUUUUAUUGGCACAGGAAGAAAGCUCUUCGGCACUACUCGGAAGAAGAAUAUGAGCAACACAUGGUCCAAUUCGCAUUGUAUGGAAGUAAAACCGAAGCAUUAGACCAAAAGCAAACCUUAUUCAUAUUUUUAGUUACUGAUAACAAUUUCUUUCCCCUCUUAUUAUCAUCUUAAUUAAGAAAUAUAGUAAUUCGUUAACUUUUUGGGAAAUUAAAAAGGAUGGCAAUAUACAAUAUUCUUGUGUUGAUGACCUUAAAAGCUAAUUCCCUUGAAACAGGAAAACUGGUAUCGUUUUUCAAAGCACAUAAAUGAUAUAUCCCAGCUUUCAAUGUGAUCGAAAGAUUUCAUAGCCACACUCGAAAUUAAUAAAUGAUCCCUAAGAAUUCGUUAACUUCAAGAGUUUAUAGAACAUUAAUUGAUCCAAAUCCAAUACAAACUGCUUACUAGUACAGCUGCAAGAGAGCCAUUUUUUUUCAGUAGGCAUAUUAAACAACUGCAGCAGUCACUAGAAAGCUAGUAUAGACCAAUUGUUCAUCUACCAACCAAUUGUGAAAUUGUUACAUCAUUACUUGAACAUAUUUCCCAUCCAAUCGUGGCUUUAUUUUGUUCGUCUUCAUAAGCUUUGUUUAAGAAAUCGGAGUCCAUUCGAUGAGUCUAUCAGCAUUCUUUAACUAAUUAUUAGAUUAAAUGUAUAAAUUUAAAACUAGUAAAAGUUUAGACUAUGAAAGAACCUUGAUUCAUUCAAGAAAUAAUUAAAAUUUUAAUCCUUUUCAAACUGGUUAAUAUUAACCUUAUCAUUAUGCGAAAACACAAUUUAAAAGAAAAAUAAAAUAAAAUAAAAAUCUCACAAAGUUGGUGUGUGGAAUAGUCAAUACGUUGUCCUUGAUUUUUUAUUUUUUAUUUUUUACAAACCCUUAAAGAGUCUAUAGAUGUAGUUAGUGAUAUUACAUUACAUUAAUUGAUCCAAAUCCAAUACAAACUGCUUACCAGUACAGCCUCAAGAGAGUCAUUUAUUAUUCAAUUGGCAAAUUAAACAACUGCAGUAGUCACUAGCAGCUUGCCAAGAGCUAUAGCGUAGAUCAAUUGUUCAUCUACCAACCAAUUGUGAAAUUGUUACAUCAUUACUUGAACAAAUUUCCAAUCCAAUCGUGGCUUUCCUUUGUUCAUCUUCGUAAGCUUGCUUUGAGAAAGUUGCAGGCUUCUUUGGAGUCAUUAUAUCAGCCGUGCUCUCAUUUUCGAGCAUCGAAGAAACUUCCAGCAUAGAAGGUCUAUCGUCUGGGUUCUCCUGAACACACAACAGAGCUAUUUGCAGACAUGUUAGCAAUUUCCACGAGGAAUGCGUAUCAUCUAGUGAUGUAUCCAUUAACCCCAUGCCUUUCCCAUCUUUCCACAGCUCAUAAGCCUGUAAAUAUCGAAUAUGUUAUUGAGUUACAUUCAAUUAAUUAGCACUAUAAAGUUUUGAUCCAGUGUGCAUUAUAAAGGGGGUUAUGAAGAAACUUACAUACUGUACAAGGCUUAAAUUUUCAUUCUGGCCAGAUUGAACGAACAAUCUUCUUCCACUUAUAAUUUGCAAAAGUAAAACCCCAAAACUGUAGACAUCAGAUUUGGUGGAGUAGAUGCCUCUCGUCACAUACUCAGGAGGGAUAUAGCCACUGUUGUACCAAGUACUUACAAAUAUCAGUUAAAUUGUUUGACCUAAAAGGUUAAGCUGAUUGGUAAAGGCUCAACAAUAGUAUUAAAGACAAGUCGAAAAAUAGACGUAUAUACACUUACUGUGUUCCAACAAUUCGACUGGUGUUUGCUUCAAGGUCGUCUUUCACAAAAAUUCUAGCUAAGCCAAAAUCUGAUAUUUUAGGCUUCAUAUUUUCAUCCAAUAAAACAUUACUAGCUUUCAAGUCUCGAUGAAUAAUUGUUAAUCUAGAAUAUUCUUGAAGAUAAAGAAGCCCUUGAGUUAUUCCUUGAAUGAUAUGAAUGCGUUUUUUCCAAUCCAAAAUAAACCUUCGGAUGGGAUCUACAUCAAAUAUAAGUAUAGUUGGACGGUCAGUAGCACUAGCAUUUGGAGAUGAGAAAGCAAAUGGAGGCACAUAAAUUAAGAAUUAAGCAGAAGCACAUACCAAAAAGGAAAUAGUCUAAGCUUUGUUUUGGCAUGUACUCGUAGAUCAGCAUUUGUUCUUCUCUGUCAAUGCAAAAACCUAAAACCUUAAUAAGAUUUACAUGUUGGAGUUUUGCAGUAAGCAUAACCUCAUUCUUGAACUCCUCAAAUCCUUGUUUGGAUGUCUUUGAGAGUUUCUUCACUGCUAUUACCUGUCCAUCAGGUAAUACACCCUGCAAACACCCCCAAAACAUUAAAAAGGAAAAAAAAAUGCAAUGUUCAUAUACAUAUGUGUGUGUGUGUAUUUCGCUAAUUAAUUAAUAAGAUGAGAGAUAGCCAAGCUAUCGAUAUAUAACCUUGUAAACAGGGCCAUAUCCACCCUCCCCGAGCUUAUUUUCAAUUGAAAAUCUAUCCGUGGCCACCUCAAUAUCAGCCAAGCUAUAUUCUCUAAGAUCAGGAUCAUUGCUGUUAAAAUCUCCAGCAUGUGCUUGACUGUUUGCUCCGUCCUUUGAUGACUUGGCUGAGUCAAUUACUAUUCCAAUUAAUAUCAACCAAGGAAAAAAAAGAAAAAGAAAAAGAAAAAAGCUAAUUUAAGUAAAUUGCCCACUUCUUCAGCUGUGCUAAAUAGAAUAGAAGUAAAAAUAAUCCUAAACCCCUGUAGAAGAAGUUACCUUUUAAUUUGAGGUUUUUCAUCCAGCAGUAGUAAUACAGCCAAAAACCUAGUAGAAGAAUACAAGCUGCAGUGGUAGUCAAAACAACUACCCAUAACAGUCGCUUAUUUUGACCACUCUUGUCAUCCUCUUCAGCUGAAAAGUCAAUCACUUUGCGUUGGUUAACCAUUGAUGCUGAAAUAAAGAUCUUAAUUCAAGUCAUUAUCCAGAAAAGUGAUCAACGGAUUGCAGUGAGUGCGGAAUUCCAUUUGCUUACCUGCAGCUUGAGAAAGCAUCCAAUCAUGAUCAUAGGAAACUAGCCACACAUGGUAUCCGCGUAGCUUCUUCUCCUUGGCAUAUGCAACCUUCACUCUAAUGGCCUCCACAUCAUCAAAACCAAACCAAAUCUUCCCAAUCGAGCAGUAGUUCACCACAUAAGUUGAAUUGUAAAUAACUUGGACAUUAGGACCAUAUCUCUUGAUGUGAUUCUUGAUUUCCCUAUAACUCACAAGACCAUCUUCACUCAAAGCUGGUCCCGUUGCUGCUGCACCAAUACCAUUGUCCUCAGGUUUCACAAGCGUCCAUGCAUAGCCAUAGAAAGGCAAACAUAAAACCAAUUUAUCAGCCGAUAACCCUUCGUCAAUCCAUUCCGUGAUUCCGUAUUCAGUAUUAGAGACACUAUUUGGAUCAUACAGAGCCGCAUGAGCACCAGUAAAAUUUGUCCACGUAGGGACUGAGUAAUCAGUAGUGAAAACAUGGACCCAAUUCAAGUAUUGUCUUAUCGAGUCGACUGGAUAAGCUGCUGCUGGUGAGUAUGGUGAAUAUGCAACCGUUGCCGUCAAAAUCAACUGUGAUUGGCUCGAGUUAUUUCUUGCUUCUAAAGCUACGGCAGCUCGCCAUUCUUUAAAGAGAAUGCCAAUAUUGUACUUAUCCCAGCUUGUGUUUGCAAAAUACCAAGACAGAUCUAAGCCUUGAAAGCCAUAGAGCCUUGCUAUUUUUAUUGAGGAGUCAAUAAAGGAUUUCCUGGAAGAAGGAUUGCCCGCCAUGGAAGAAUAAGUUGAAUAGUUUGGAUAAUUUCCUGCUCCGAUGGAAAGAAGUGUAGUGAUUGAUGGGUUCUUUAUUUUGACUGUGUCUGUGAAGUUGGAGAAUUGUUUUUCAUCCGAAGGUAAUAAAGAAAGCUCAUAGGAAGUUGAGUUGACACCAGCAAAACCACACAUCAGGUGAGUGAAGAGAGCAGAAUUUACAUCUGAAACUGGGAACCCAUCGCGUGAAUCCCAGUAACCAGCUCUGAUUAAAGUUUGUGCUCUUGCAGGAAGCGAUUCUGAAAAUAUAAAAAUGUGGAGGACAAGAAUGAUAAUUUUGGAUGCCAUUGUGGGAACCUGGCUGCUUGAGGCAUACCUAGUAUGUGAUUAUAUAUUUGUACACACACACACAAAAUGUAAUGGAGAAAUUAUCCUAUACCGAUUGAGAUUAGUUAUUGCACUAAUAAUGCAAACUUGAGUCAACUUUCAACUUAUGAGCUUAGUCCAUAAGUUUUUAUACGAUAUCAAAUUCAAGUUAUGAAUGAGGGACCCUAUAAUACCUUCCAACCUAACUUAAUAAUUAAUCUUAGCCAAUGUGACAUACUUGUUCUAUCACUUUAUCACGUCCAAGUCGAUCUUUUAGCUUUGUCUCUUUUUCAUGAUAAUAAGUGAUAAGAUUGAAGUUCUUAAAUUAAGCUAUGACUUUUUACCUCCGCUUAGCUUGACUUCUGAAGUUGGAGACUCGUUCUUUUGUAUUGUCUUUGUUGGUAUUUAAAUGAACUCGGAGUCCUCGACGAGUUUCUGAAGCGAAGUCAUUAUUCCUCUAUGACUCCAUCCAUGCAAUUGGAAGGCAAAAUCUUGUGAAAAUAUUUUCUAAGUUGAUUCAGUCCAUGAUCAACGUGCACAAAACGCAAAAUCUUGCGAAAAUCAAACCCGUCCUCACUCAUGACCUCACUUUAUUAAAUUACAGCUUGUCAUUGAAUUGAGUGUUGCCUUAAUUAAGCCAUCAAAUUAAUAAAGUGAUGGUCAUUAAGAAAUACACUUAGUUACUUCCUGAUGGUAAGAUUCAAUAAUAUUCUAAUUUAAAAAAAAAAAAAAAGAUCCAUAUACCUUUUUCUUGUGUAAUUUAAUUUUCAGUCCAGUCCACCCUCCCAUUUUAUCAUAAAAGUGUAUACAAACAUACGUUUUACUCAAUGUUUACUUAGAAACAAAUGGCGCGCGUACGAUUGCCGAUCUAGUACCACUCUCGUAUGCUUGGUGGGAUUCGGCUUCACCAAAUUUGUAGCAUAUAUUUUACUUUAAUGAGAAAAUCAAAUAAUUAUUGAACAAAUAAUUUUUUUUUCAAUAUACUUUCUUAAAAUGUAUGGAGUUGGUAAAGUGCAAAUUCAUUUUUUAGCCCUUUGACUCCUCCAAAAUCAAAACUAAAAUUAAUGGUCAGUUAAAUAAUGUUACUUGAAAAUCAUUUCCUAGCUAGAAUUUGUUUAAUUCUAUUAAUUUACAAUCGUUUUUCAUUUUACUUAAUUAAUUAAAGUGAAUUUAUUAUGUAUACAUUCUACAUACAUAAAGUUUUAAUAUUCAGUGUUGAAUUGAAUUGUACUAAAUUUUUUAUAAUUUUUUGUCAGACCUGCGUUUUUAACAGUUUAAUAGUAAUAUUGAUAGCACAUAAUAUACAGGAUUAAGAGAGAUCGAUUUCGACUGCUACAAGAUUUUUAGGAUUGCAUGCACAAGGGUUUAAAAACAAAGUGUACACUUAAUUACACCAAACGAGGGUGCAUUUUUAUGAUGAAAUAAAAACUACGUGCAGGGUUGUAAAAGUGGCUCCAUAAUUAGCGUACAUUAACAUUCAUCUAGCUACCACUUCCGAAAAUGAUACAUCAUAAGCCGAACAUUUUUCCAAUUUUGUUGUAGAUAAUAGUUCAAUCCCAAUUUCAUCAACUUGUUUUGAGAAAGCAGGCUUCUUGGGAGUAUUUGUAUUUGUGGUUUCAUUCUUGAGCAUUGAGGAAACUUCCAGCAUUGAAGGUCUAUCGUUUGGAUUCUCCUGGACACACAACAAAGCUAUUUCCACACAUCUCAUUAAUUUACAAGGGGAAUUUCUAUCAUCUAGGAAUGAAUCCACAAACUCCACGCCUUUGCCAACUUUCCACAACUCAUAUGCCUGAAAUUAUCAAGUACCAUCUUGUUACAUAAUUUAUACUUCUUAAUUAAGUGCGCAUAUGUGUACUCAGGGUUACUAUAGCCGAAGAAACUUACGUGCUCUAGAAUGCUUAAAUUUUCAUUGAUGCCACAUAACACUGAAAGCCUCUUUCCACUUAUGAUUUGUAGAAGUAAAACUCCGAAACUAAAAACGUCUGAUUUGGUAGAGUAUACACCUUGUCUGGCGUACUCAGGAGGAAUACAGCCUCUGCGUUCAAAAUAACCAAGUAUAUAUGAGUAAGGGAUUUUGCAAUUUAAUAAAUUUGUAAAACCCAUUUUAAAUUGUGGUAAAAGUCCAUUCUGCAUUUUAUUAAAGUGCUGAAUUCCUUAUUCGAAACCCAAUAUAUGUAUAACAAACAGAAGCUUGAGUAAAGGAUAUCAUUUAGAUGUAAUAUACUUACAUUGUUCCCACAACUUGUUCUGUAUUCGCUUCGAGACUCUCUUUUGCAAAAAUCCUAGCCAAACCAAAAUCUGAAAUUUUAGGUUUCAUACCUUCACCUAACAAAAUAUUACUGGCUUUCAAGUCUCGAUGAAUAAUAGUCAGUCUUGAAUAUUCCUGGAGGUAUAAAAGCCCUUGAGUUAUCCCUUCAAUGAUAUGAACACGUUUUUUCCAAUCCAAAAUAAGUCUUCUGAUGGGAUCUACAACAAAUAUAUAGUUUUGGACAAUAAGUGAUAUGCAAAUGAAUUUUAUACACAAUUAAUAUUAACUUGAUUUCAGAACAAACCAAAAAGGUAGCAAUCCAAGCUUUUGUAUGGCAUGUAUUCGUAGACCAGCAUCUGUUCCUCACUGUCAAUGCAAAAACCUAAAACUCUAAUAAGAUUUACAUGUUGGAGUUUUGCAGUAAGCAUAACCUCAUUCUUAAACUCCUCAAAUCCCUGUGCGGAUGAUUUCGAAAGUUUCUUCACUGCUAUCACCCCUCCACAGGGUAAUACACCCUGCAACCCAAAAAAAAAAACCACGUUCAUAUAAAGCUUUCACUAAUUAGAGAAGCUGAGAAAUGUUAGCCAAACAAUAUGCUACCCCCCAAAGUUGAGGGCACCAUUUUAAGUCCUUUAAGUCCCCAUGGACGCAAAAUGUAAAUCUCCUCUCACAGAAUAUGGAUAUGGGUAGAGGUAUCUUCCUAAAAUAUUAGUCGAAGUAGUUAUAUCCCUCUAGUGUGAGGUUAGAGGUCUCAUCUCUAAUAGGCAUAGAUUUUUAAAUUAUAUGUUUUGGGCCUCUGAAUUCUAUGACGAGUGUACAAAUUCAAACUUCCGAUAGGAUCCAAAUUGCAACAUUGUGGAUUGUAACAAAUUAAAAUAUAGGUAUACACACACACACACACAUAUGUUACCUUGUAAACAGGACCAUAUCCACCCUCCCCAAGCUUAUUUCUAAUUGAAAAUCCCUCGGUGGCCGCCUCAAUAUCAGCCAAACUAUAUACUCUGAGAUUAGGAACAUUUAUGUUAAAGUCUCCAGCUUCUGUUUCAUUAUUUGCUCUCGUGUUUGAUGCUUUAGCAGAAUCCUCUGUUCCUAACAUCAACCAAGAGUAAAUAUUAGAUAAUUAAUUGUAUGUCAGCCUCAGUGAUAUAUAUGUGUGUGUGUGUGUGUGUGUGUGUGUGUGUGUGUGUGUGUUUGUGUUUGUGUGUGUGAAUGAAAUGCAUGCUUAAUGAUAAUUGAUAGCUGAAGCUUGUUACCUUCUAUUAACUUGAGCCUUUUCCUCUGGUUGUAUUUAUAUGCACAACAGCCUAGAAGGAGAGUCAAAGCUGCCGCUGCAGUGGAAAUGAGUGCAAUGGACAGACACCGGUUGUUACUAUGUUCAUCUUUUUCAGCUGAAGCAGAAGUAAUCCUGUCUUUUUGUGCUGGAAAUAUGUAUAGUUCACCAAUUAAUAAUAACAAGCUUGAGAUACCAUAACAAUCAUUAUUAAUCAGAGAGAACAAUUAUUGCAUAUAUAAAUACCUGCAGCUUGAGAAAGCACCCAAUUAUGAUCAUCAAAAGGAACUCGCCACACAUAGUAACCAAGCAAUCUCUUCUCUUUGGCAUAGGCGAUCUUAGCUCUAACAGCCUCCACAUCAUCAAAACCAAACCAAACCGUCCCAGUGGAGAAGUAAUUCACCACAUAAGUUGAAUUGUACAUAACUUGAACAUUAGGAGCAUAGUUCUUGAUGUGAUUCUUGAUAGUCCUAUAGGUCACAAGGCCAUCAUUAGUCAAAGCUGGUCCUGCUGCUGCUGCUCCAAUACCAUUGUCUUCAGGUUUCACAAGCCUCCAUGCAUAGCCAUAGAAAGGCAAAGACAUAGCCAACUUAUCAGCCGAUAGCCCUCUCUCAAUCCAUGCCUUUAAAACCUGAUCGGUACUUUUAGCAAAGCCGCCGCUACUUGAGCCAUGGAGAGCCGCAGGUGGCGCAGUGAAGUUUGUUGACAAAGGCUUGUAGUAGUUAGCAGUAACUGCAUGAACCCAAUUCAAGUUUCGUUGCAUCGAAUUCAAAAGAUAUGAAUUCGCUGGUGGUGAAUAACGAAAUCUUGCGGUCAAAAUCAGCGGGGAUUGCUGGCGACUAGAGUUUAUUGCCUCUAAUUUUGUAGCAGCAAUUCGCCACUCGUCAAAAAGUAAACCAAUAUUGAACAUAUCGGUGCUUGUGUUGGGAGCUGUCCAAGCAAAAUCUAGGCCCUGAAAGCCAUAAAGCCUAGCUAUUCUUAUUGAAGAGUCGAUGAAAGAUUUUCUGUGAGAAGAAUUUCUCACCAUUGAAGAAUAUAUAGAAUAGUUUGUAUGUCUUCCUUCUCCAAUGGAGAGAAGCAUAGUGAUUGAUAGGUUCUGUUUCUUCACAGUGUCUGCGAAUUUGGCGAUUUGAUUUUCAUCGGAUGGUAAUGAUAAAGAUAGCUGGUAAGUGGUAGAAUUGAUAUCAGCAGAAGAGCAAAUAAGGUGAGUGAAGAGAUCAUAAUUUAUGCCCGAAAUGGUGGACACUUCGCUUAGAUUCAAGUAACCGACCCUAAUCCACGGUUUUGCUUUCGCUGGAUGAAGUUCUGAAUAGAGCAACGUGUGCAAGAUGAUGCUGAUAAUUAUGGAUGCCAUUUAAGACUUUGUUAGGAAUGGAAAUGAAUGCACACU